AUUCUCCAGCAACUUCUUCUUCUUCCUCUUCCCAUCUCACGUUUUUCUCCUAUUCCAUGAAAGUUUCUCUCAAGCUUCCAUCACUAUCUCAAACUAAUCUCAAUUUUCGUGCUUUACACACCCUGUUGUAGGGUUUUUCAUACUCUUUUACUCCUUCACCUUAAACAAACCCUUAAAAGUCUUUCUUCAAUACUUUCUCUCACUAGCUCAACUUUGUAGAGAGAGAAAGAGAGGUUUCAUGAUAGCUUGAGGACUCUUGGGAAGAAAUUUCAUUACCAUCCACCAAGGUGAGUGAUGAAUUAGGAUUGGUUUUAAGUUAUUGAUGAUGGCUAGUAAUUAGAGUUAUGAGUUGUGUUAUUUGCUGAAAUUGUUUAUCUAUUUCUAGUGUUACUAAAGUAGAGAAAUGGAAUAGCCAAUCAAAUAGUAAUUGGAAGGUAGAUAAGAAGGGCUAUUGAAGCUUGAAUUGGGAAAUAGCUUUUGGAGUGAUAUUAAUGUAAAUUGGAUUGGCUGUGAUGUUUUUGUGCGUGAUAGGUUCCAACAAGGCUCUUCAGCCACAUUUGGACCAUUAGAAAAGUUAAAGUCGAUUAAAGGUUCAACAAUUACCGAUGAGUGAACUUACAUUAAAAGGUUUUGGGAUAUACACAUAUAUGUUUGAUUGAAUCCCCUCAAACGUUUUAUUUGGUUUUUUCUUCAAAACUUGCACGGGAAUAAGCCCUUAUGAAAUGUUUUUAUGUUAUAAAAUGGAUAGUGUGAUGAAUUCAUAUGUUUGUGUAUAAUGUAUAUAUAUAUAUAUAUAUAUAUAUAUAUAUAUAUAUAUAUAUAUAUAUUAUGUCAUAAAUGGUACAAUUGUGUGACUAAUGCAACCGUGCAUGUGCGGGAUAAGUGUGCACUUGUUGGUAAUGACGGUGGUGAGGGAGAUGGAUGGUGAUACUGCUUGUGUGCACGAUUGGGGGGAUGUACAUGAUGGCAUUAACUGUGCACGAUGUAGAGGGAUGCACACGAGCUGGGUGAGAUAGGGUGUUCGGUUAUGUGCACGAUGCGGGGGGAUGCACAUGAGCUGGGUGACAUGGGAUGUCCGGCUAUAUGCACGAUGUGGGGGGAUGCACAUGAGCUGGGUGAGAUAGGGUGUCCGGCUAUGUCCACUAUGUGGGGGGAUGCACAUGAACUGGAUGAGAUGUGGUGGUAUACUAAUUGGUAUAUGCUUAAGUAUAUGUAUAUGCAAUAGAAAGAUCAUGAUUAUAAUAUGUCAUUGUAUGGCAUGAUGAAUCUUGAAAAUUUUCCAUUUACUUGCAAAUUGAUUUUAUUGCAGCGAGAAAUAUUCUGUUUAUGUUGCCUUGCUUGGAUGAUUGUUGGAAAUUUCCUCUCUUUCCAACUUCAUGCUAAAUAUGGUUCCUUCAUCAUUAAAUGAUUUAAUAACCGGGGGUUUAAUAGAGAGAUUUUAAUAAGAACUUGAAUUAAGUUGCAUUGGUUUCGAAUAAGUGCAUCAUGAUUAUCAACUUUCCUUAUCGUUGCUUGUUCCCUUCUUAUGUUCACUCACUGAGUUUGUAUUCAUUGUUUUCAACUUCAUGUGUUCAGAUCAAGAGGCAGUCGGUAACUAGGUCAAGGUGUCCUCGUAGAUUUGUAUUCUUGGUAGGUAUCUUGGCAUUCAGUAGCCGUACCUUCACCUUGGUCACUCCGCUGGAAGCCCAUAGUCUUUUGUUUGUAAAUACGUACAUGUGAUGUAAAGUGCUAAGAUGCAUGCCUUAAACCAUAUAUGUAUAUUUUGAUUGGUAAGCCAUCAUGAAUGACAAUGGUUAAUAUUAUUUUGGGUUAAUAUAAAUGCAGUUUUGAUUGCUAUAGUUUAUUAGUAAAGUACUUG
rnacentral:lncRNA from 1 species